rnacentral:rRNA from 1 species
CAGCACCUCAAGUGGUCAGGAUGAUUAUUGGGCCUAAAGCAUCCGUAGCCGGCGCUGUAAGUUUUCGGUUAAAUCUGUACGCUCAACGUACAGGCUGCCGGGAAUACUGCAGCGCUAGGGAGUGGGAGAGGUAGACGGUACUCGGUAGGAAGGGGUAAAAUCCUUUGAUCUAUUGAUGACCACCUGUGGCGAAGGCGGUCUACCAGAACACGUCGGACGGUGAGGGAUGAAAGCUGGGGGAGCAAACCGGAUUAGAUACCCGCGUAGUCC